AACGUAGGAAAAUUUGUGCUUUUUGUAACAACGCAAUUUAUUUGGCAGAAAAAUUUGUUGAAACGCGACGAAAACUCAGACGAGGGCCAUAUUUUCCUCAGUUAGCCUAUCUUGAUUCAUCCGUGGGUAAAUUAGACUAUAUGGGAAGAGCAAUUGUGUGUUUGUCUUGCUUUCACGUGCUGCUAAGGCAAUGGAACACUUACGAAUUGAAUAAUAUUGCCGUGUCGAUGAGAACUUAUACCUAUGUACCAGAAACAAGUGUGCGAAACUAUGAGGAAUUAAGAGCUGAAGAAAUACUCACUGAGGCUGAAAAAAGGGCAAACGCCAUUCAAGCAAACCAGAACCGUAUCGUGAAAGAAGCCUUCCAUCUUUUCAAUAAAAAAUUGGACUUGCAAGAGGCAAUUAUCGAUGAAAGCGAAGACCGUAUUGAUCAACUAAAACGAAGCUAUGACCUUUCUACGAAAGGCGAACAGUGGAAAAUAAAAAGGAAUUUAACGAAGCAUUUCAAAAUCAUUGAAGUUGCAGAAGCUAUAUUCGAAGAUGAAGAAGAUAAGGAAGGUUUGAUUAGAAGUGUGACAAAAAAACUACUUAAAGUUUAUGAAAAGCAACGCGUUUCAGAAGCUACUGAUCCAAUACUAGUCUAUAAACAUGAAAAGGUUUGUGAAAACAAUGAUAUACAAUUUUACGAUUGCCAAAAUAUAAUCAAUGGAGUAUGAUUAGAAGAAUGCGAUGAUAAAGUAAAAAAAUGACCAGAUAAAAAGAUUUAUCCACCAUUUCUUUCAAACCACUAAAUACAAAUUGCCAUCAAAUAUAUGUAUUUAAAUAAAAGAGCUGGGCACUUAUGAUAGUUAACUUCAUAUGGCAAAGUGACGCAAUUAAAUUUUUUGAAAAAGUAAGUUCAUUGUAUAAAAUAUAGGCUUUGAAGCAUCUGAGCUGAUUGCAAACGCACGGCACUAUUUAAGGCUCAUUCCCGAAGGAGAAGGUCUUUUUAUAAGCAUGUAUAUAUCAUGAAACACACUGUUUUCGAAUCUGUCAAAAGUACUGAUCUUAAGGGAUUGUAUCAUUCGUAUGAGCCUGCAAUACAACAGUUUUCGCCUAUAAUUUGAAUAAACAAAAUCCCUUGUGUGCAAUUGUACAAUAUUUGUCAUUCGUGGCCGAUAAAUUUUAUGUCAAACAUAUUUUACACAUAAUGUUUUCCGUAAAAAGAAAUUCCUGAGGAUAUCAAGUUUGAACGCAAUGAAGCUGAGUUAAGAAGGUCUUUAAGUUAUUCAUUCAACCACAAGCAUCCAUGAGUAAAUAAAGCAUUUAGUUGUAUUAGUUCAAUGUACAACAUAAAUACUGAAGCUAUUGUUCUCUUGUAUCCACAUAAUGGCGCUAAUUUCUAAGUUCAUGAAGAGGCAAAUUUGUUGAAGAAACCUUUACAAAUUGAUCCUUAUACAUUUAACAUACUGAAGUUGAGUUCUCCGUCAUAUGUCUAAAGAUCUUUGUGUUUGUCAUAAUUUCUUCACAAUACUCCAGUGUGCAUGUCACAAUGCAUAUCACUGAGUUUGAACCAUAUUUACCAUGAGCUUAAUAAGCAUAACCUUAACGUCAUAGUGCUCCAUAACCAUGGCAACCUCUUUCAUACAUGAUGCCAACGUUAUGAUGUAUUGCAUGUAUAAGAAGUGAUUGGGGAUUACUAUUUCAAUUUAAUUUUUGAUCAUGGAACAAAUGUUAUAGUAAACGUUGCUCAUUUCAACAAUUUUGCGUUUCUGCGUAUAAUUUUCAGAAAUAUGUAUAAACAUACAUGGAAGCAGUCUUUAAAGACUAUGCAGGACGAUGAGCCAAAGGCACAAGAAGUUAUUUUGCCAAAACGUUUGGAACCAGAUCGCUUUGAUCAGUUUACAAAAUCCACCUCCACUCCCACGCAAAGCAGAAACGACCUGAAAAGUCAAACGAGACGCCAGUCAUUAAAUCGAAGCCAAACAAUGUUGUCACAACACGAAGUAAAUGCAAUUAAGAUUAAAGAUGCUGACCAUGAAGUCCUGCAGAGCAAUGAAGAAGAGAACAAAAAACAUGAAAGACAUUUAAGUGAGGAAGAAGAGAGAUGGGAAAAAAAACAUUUGUUACCUAAACGUUUGGAGAAAACAAAAUUACUGAAUUUUACCAAUGAGCAAGAAAAUCAUGUCAUAAUGUUUGACAGAAAAUCACAAUUGGAAAAUGGUUCAGAAACAAAUUUUUCCAUUACAUCACUCGAGAAAACAAACAACAAGAAUAUUUGUCGUAAACACAACGAGAAUAUGUCAGCUGAUGAACAAACUAUAAAAAUGUUAGGAGUUGAAUCAGUUCAGAGUUGCCCUUGGGAAGAAUUGUCUAAAAUAAGUCAAUGGUUAAAAACAACGAAUCAUUAAAAAAAGUCGAAACACCGACUUCUGAGAAUGUAGCUAAAGAAAGACUUUUACGACCAAGUUACUUGAAGGGGAAAAUUAGUAUCUCAGAUGAAACCAUUCAUUCUCGUACAAGAGAAGAGCCCAAAGUUAUCUUUUUAAAUGAAAGCGUGCUGAAAUAUGACGACGAUUAUUUGAGUGGAAAGACAAUUGGGAAAGUCGAUACUUGCAAAUGGGAACAAAUUAUUAAUUUCCCGUCAAGGCCAGAAUUGUGUAGUUCUUCCCGAAAUGAAAACGAUAAAAACAAAGAAAAAAAUAUGAGGGGUUCUCAAUCAAUCGAAGCAAUUCAUAUUUAUGGCCCUGCAACAGUUGAUUGCCUAAACCAUCGUUCAUUUAAUGAGAGUUUGUCCGAAGAUGAACUGGCUUGGGAGAAGCGUUUUGUAAAAGUAGAGAGCGAAGAGAUCUUACACGAAAAGCAAGUUAUUCAAAACGAUAAAUUUGCUCAAAAAACAUUUCGGACUAAUAAAAAAACUACUGAUGAAAUUGAGAACUAUUUUACUUUUGAUAAAAUUGCAUUGAACGAGGAAGAAGUCCAAAAAGUUCGUACACACAGAUAUAGCGAGCCAAGUCCAACAAUUUUGGGAAAAAACUGCGUUGAAUAUUGUCAAUCCACUCAGAACUACAAACAUUGUCAAUCGUCCAUUGACUGCAGUCAGUCGCCAAACAAAGAACUAUCUUGGGAUGUAAAAAAUGGUAAACCUCGAAAGUUAGAUAGUUCUAAGUUUUCACCGUUCAUACAAUAAAUAUGAAUAAAUUAUAUAUAUGCUUUGUAGUGAAAAUAGAGAAUUAACAGUAUUGAACAAUGAAACUAUGCAGUAAAUGCUUAUUGUUGACUGUGUAAGUCUACAAUCCACCUUCAGCCUCACGAUUCAACCGUUGGACAUAUCAAAUUAAGAAUAUUAUAACUUUAACCUGGUGACUAGUUGGUACCUGUAUAAUGGUCAACUUCUGAGAAUCGCUGAAUACUUCGUUCUUGAUACGUUUUUAGUCGCGAAAUCAUUUUGAAAUUUUUGCGUCUAUAAAAGAAAAGGAAUCCAUUCAAAGAAUUCAGUAGCUUAAUUUAUACUAGGAAGUAGGAGUUUUAUGAUAAGCAUUGCAAAGUA